GAUCCUGGCUCAGGAUGAACGCUAGCGACAGGCUUAACACAUGCAAGUCGAGGGGCAGCAUGAACUUAGCUUGCUAAGUUUGAUGGCGACCGGCGCACGGGUGAGUAACGCGUAUGCAACUUGCCUAUCAGAGGAGAAUAGCUCAUCGAAAGAUGAAUUAAUGCUCCAUAAAACAGGGGUCCCGGCCAUGGGAAGUAUUUGUUUAAAGGUAAUUCUAUCGCUGAUAGAA
rnacentral:rRNA from 1 species